UACAGAGGUGGCAAGCGUUGUUCGGAAUUACUGGGCGUAAAGGGCGCGUAGGCGGCCUACUAAGUCAGACGUGAAAUCCCCCGGCUUAACCUGGGAACUGCGUCUGAUACUGGAUGGCUUGAGUUCGGGAGAGGGAUGCGGAAUUCCAGGUGUAGCGGUGAAAUGCGUAGAUAUCUGGAGGAACACCGGUGGCGAAGGCGGCAUCCUGGACCGAUACUGACGCUGAGGAGCGAAAGCCAGGGGAGCAAACGGG
rnacentral:rRNA from 1 species